rnacentral:rRNA from 1 species
AACGAACGCUGGCGGCAUGCUUAACACAUGCAAGUCGAACGGAAAGGCCCUGCUUUUUUGGGGUGCUCGAGUGGCGAACGGGUGACUAACACGUGAGUAACCUGCCCUUGCCUUUGGGAUAACUUCAGGCAACUGGGGCUAAUACCGGAUAGGAGCUCCUGCUGCAUGGUGGGGGUUGGAAAGUUUCGGCGGUUGGGGAUGGACUCGCGGCUUAUCAGCUUGUUGGGGGGGUAGUGGCUUACCAAGGCCUUGACCGGUAGCCGGCCUGAGAGGGUGACCGGCCACAUUGGGACUGAGAUACGGCCCAGACUCCUACGGGAGGCAGCAGUGGGGUAUAGUGCACAAUGGGCUGAAGCCUGAUGCAGCAACGCCGCGUGCGGGAUGACGGCCUUCGGUUUGUAAACCGCUUUCGCCUGUGACGAAGCGUGAGUGACGGUAAUGGGUAAAGAAGCACCGGCUAACUACGUG